UUGUGCUAGGCGGGGAGCUAGCGGUGCCCUAUUCCCGAAAUCCGCUUAUGCGGGGCUGAAUUCCCCCUGUAGGGUCUUAUACGUGGAAAGUCGUAGCACAUUUUGAUCGGACGCCACGCAACAGACGGUCACGAACCUCGUCAGGUCCGGAAGGAAGCAGCGAUAAGUGAUGCGGUUUGUGUCGUGGGCCGAUUCCGGUCAUAUCCAUGGGUUACACUCUCCACAAAAGAUUCGAUAGGGGGUGCACAA
rnacentral:SRP_RNA from 1 species